rnacentral:rRNA from 1 species
AGUGGCGGACGGGUGAGUAACACGUAAGAAUUUGCCUUUAGGAGGGGGACAACAACUGGAAACGGUUGCUAAUACCCCAUAUGCUUUCGAGUGAAACGGAUUUUUCCGCCUAAAGAGAAGCUUGCGGCUGAUUAGCUUGUUGGUGAGGUAAUGGCUCACCAAGGCGACGAUCAGUAUCUGGUUUGAGAGGACGAUCAGACACACUGGAACUGAGACACGGUCCAGACUCCUACGGGAGGCAGCAGUGGGGAAUUUUCCGCAAUGGGCGAAAGCCUGACGGAGCAAUACCGCGUGAGGGAUGACGGCCUAUGGGUUGUAAACCUCUUUUUUCAGGGAGGAAUCAAAUGACGUGUACCUGAAGAAUAAGCAUCGGCUAACUCCGUGCCAGCAGCCGCGGUAAGACGGGGGAUGCAAGUGUUAUCCGGAAUCACUGGGCGUAAAGCGUCUGUAGGUGGUCAAAUAAGUCAACUGUUAAAUCUUGAGGCUCAACCUCAAAAUCGCAGUCGAAACUAUUAGACUAGAGUAUAGUAGGGGUAAAGGGAAUUUCCAGUGGAGCGGUGAUAUGCGUAGAGAUUGGAAAGAACACCGAUGGCGAAGGCACUUUACUGGGCUAUUACUAACACUCAGAGACGAAAGCUAGGGUAGCAAAUGGGAUUAGAUACCCCAGUAGUCCUAGCCGUAAACAAUGGAUACUAGAUGU